GACGAACGCUGGCGGCGUGCUUAACACAUGCCAGUCGAACGGAAAGGCCCUGCUUUUGUGGGGUGCUCGAGUGGCGAACGGGUGAGUAACACGUGAGUAACCUGCCCUUGACUUUGGGAUAACUUCAGGAAACUGGGGCUAAUACCGGAUAGGAGCUCCUGCUGCAUGGUGGGGGUUGGAAAGUUUCGGCGGUUGGGGAUGGACUCGCGGCUCAUCAGCUUGUUGGUGGGGUAGUGGCUUACCAAGGCUUUGACGGGUAGCCGGCCUGAGAGGGUGACCGGCCACAUUGGGACUGAGAUACGGCCCAGACUCCUACGGGAGGCAGCAGUGGGGAAUAUUGCACAAUGGGCGGAAGCCUGAUGCAGCAACGCCGCGUGCGGGAUGACGGCCUUCGGGUUGUAAACCGCUUUCGCCUGUGACGAAGCGUGAGUGACGGUAAUGGGUAAAGAAGCACCGGCUAACUACGUG
rnacentral:rRNA from 1 species